AGAGUUUGAUCAUGGCUCAGGAUGAACGCUGGCGGCGUGCCUAAUACAUGCAAGUCGAGCGAACCACUUCGGUUGGUGAGCGGCGAACGGGGUGAGUAACACGUAGGUGAUCUGCCCAUCAGACGGGGACAACGAUUGGAAACGAUCGCUAAUACCGGAUAGGACGAAAGUUUAAAGGUGCUUCUGGCACCGCUGAUGGAUGAGCGUGCGGCGCAUUAGCUAGUUGGUAGGGUAAAGGCCUACCAAGGCGACGAUGCGUAGCCGACCUGAGAGGGUGAACGGCCACACUGGGACUGAGACACGGCCCAGACUCCUACGGGAGGCAGCAGUAGGGAAUCUUCGGCAAUGGGCGAAAGCCUGACCGAGCAACGCCGCGUGAAUGAUGAAGGCCUUCGGGUUGUAAAAUUCUGUUAUAAGGGAAGAACGACUUUAGUAGGAAAUGGCUAGAGUGUGACGGUACCUUAUGAGAAAGCCACGGCUAACUACGUGCCAGCAGCCGCGGUAAUACGUAGGUGGCGAGCGUUAUCCGGAAUUAUUGGGCGUAAAGAGCGCGCAGGUGGUUGAUUAAGUCUGAUGUGAAAGCCCACGGCUUAACCGUGGAGGGUCAUUGGAAACUGGUCGACUUGAGUGCAGAAGAGGGAAGUGGAAUUCCAUGUGUAGCGGUGAAAUGCGUAGAGAUAUGGAGGAACACCAGUGGCGAAGGCGGCUUCCUGGUCUGUAACUGACACUGAGGCGCGAAAGCGUGGGGAGCAAACAGGAUUAGAUACCCUGGUAGUCCACGCCGUAAACGAUGAGUGCUAAGUGUUGGGGGUCGAACCUCAGUGCUGAAGUUAACGCAUUAAGCACUCCGCCUGGGGAGUACGGUCGCAAGACUGAAACUCAAAGGAAUUGACGG
rnacentral:rRNA from 1 species